AGGGCGCACGGUGGAUGCCUUGGCACUAGGAGCCGACGAAGGACGUGACAAACGACGAUAUGCCUUGGGUAGCUGUAAGUAAGCGAUGAUCCAGGGAUUUCCGAAUGGGGGAACCCAACAGGUAAUACCUGUUACCUACAUCUGUUAAGGAUGUGAGGAGGAAGACGCAGUGAACUGAAACAUCUAAGUAGCUGCAGGAAGAGAAAGCAAAAGCGAUUGCCUUAGUAGCGGCGAGCGAAACGGCAGAAGGGCAAACCGAAGAGUUUACUCUUCGGGGUUGUAGGACUGCAAUGUGGACUCAAAGAUUAUAGAAGAAUGAUUUGGGAAGAUCAGCCAAAGAGAGUAAUAGCCUCGUAUUUAAAAUAGUCUUUGUACUUAGCAGUAUCCUGAGUACGGCGGGACACGUGAAAUCCCGUCGGAAUCUGGGAGGACCAUCUCCCAACCCUAAAUACUCCCUAGUGACCGAUAGUGAACCAGUACCGUGAGGGAAAGGUGAAAAGCACCCCGGGAGGGGAGUGAAAUAGAACCUGAAACCGUGUGCCUACAACAAGUUCGAGCCCGUUAAUGGGUGAGAGCGUGCCUUUUGUAGAAUGAACCGGCGAGUUACGUUAUGAUGCGAGGUUAAGUUGAAGAGACGGAGCCGUAGGGAAACCGAGUCUGAAUAGGGCGCCUUAGUAUCAUGACGUAGACCCGAAACCAUGUGACCUACCCAUGAGCAGGUUGAAGGUGCGGUAAGACGCACUGGAGGACCGAACCAGGGCACGUUGAAAAGUGCUUGGAUGACUUGUGGGUAGCGGAGAAAUUCCAAACGAACUUGGAGAUAGCUGGUUCUCUCCGAAAUAGCUUUAGGGCUAGCGUCGACAUUAGAGAUUCUUGGAGGUAGAGCACUGUUUGGGUGAGGGGUCCAUCCCGGAUUACCAAUCUCAGAUAAACUCCGAAUGCCAAUGAAUUAUGGUCGGCAGUCAGACUGCGAGUGCUAAGAUCCGUAGUCGAAAGGGAAACAGCCCAGACCACCAGCUAAGGUCCCAAAAUAAUUGUUAAGUGGAAAAGGAUGUGGGGUUGCACAGACAACUAGGAUGUUAGCUUAGAAGCAGCUAUUCAUUCAAAGAGUGCGUAAUAGCUCACUAGUCGAGUGACCCUGCGCCGAAAAUGUACCGGGGCUAAAACAAUUUACCGAAGCUGUGGAUACCUUUAUAGGUAUGGUAGGAGAGCGUUCUAUGUGUGAUGAAGGUAUACCGUGAGGAGUGCUGGAACGCAUAGAAGUGAGAAUGCCGGUAUGAGUAGCGAAAGACAGGUGAGAAUCCUGUCCACCGUAAGACUAAGGUUUCCAGGGGAAGGCUCGUCCGCCCUGGGUUAGUCGGGACCUAAGGAGAGACCGAAAGGUGUAUCCGAUGGACAACAGGUUGAUAUUCCUGUACUAGAGUAUGUAGUGAUGGAGGGACGCAGUAGGCUAACUAAAGCAGACGAUUGGAAGAGUCUGUCUAAGCAGUGAGGUGUGAAUUGAGUCAAAUGCUUAAUUCUAUAACAUUGAGCUGUGAUGGGGAGCGAAGUUUAGUAGCGAAGUUAGUGACGUCACACUGCCAAGAAAAGCUUCUAGCGUUUAAACAUACUCUACCCGUACCGCAAACCGACACAGGUAGUCGAGGCGAGUAGCCUCAGGUGAGCGAGAGAACUCUCGUUAAGGAACUCGGCAAAAUGACCCCGUAACUUCGGGAGAAGGGGUGCUGACUUAAAGUCAGCCGCAGUGAAUAGGCCCAAGCAACUGUUUAUCAAAAACACAGCUCUCUGCUAAAUCGUAAGAUGAUGUAUAGGGGGUGACGCCUGCCCGGUGCUGGAAGGUUAAGAGGAGUGCUUAGCGUAAGCGAAGGUAUGAAUUGAAGCCCCAGUAAACGGCGGCCGUAACUAUAACGGUCCUAAGGUAGCGAAAUUCCUUGUCGGGUAAGUUCCGACCCGCACGAAAGGCGUAAUGAUUUGGGCACUGUCUCAACGAGAGACUCGGUGAAAUUUUAGUACCUGUGAAGAUGCAGGUUACCCGCGACAGGACGGAAAGACCCCAUGGAGCUUUACUGCAGUUUGAUAUUGAGUGUCUGUACCACAUGUACAGGAUAGGUAGGAGUCUAAGAGAUCGGGACGCCAGUUUCGAAGGAGACGCUGUUGGGAUACUACCCUUGUGUUAUGGCCACUCUAACCCAGAUAGGUGAUCCCUAUCGGAGACAGUGUCUGACGGGCAGUUUGACUGGGGCGGUCGCCUCCUAAAAGGUAACGGAGGCGCCCAAAGGUUCCCUCAGAAUGGUUGGAAAUCAUUCGCAGAGUGUAAAGGUAUAAGGGAGCUUGACUGCGAGAGCUACAACUCGAGCAGGGACGAAAGUCGGGCUUAGUGAUCCGGUGGUUCCGUAUGGAAGGGCCAUCGCUCAACGGAUAAAAGCUACCCUGGGGAUAACAGGCUUAUCUCCCCCAAGAGUUCACAUCGACGGGGAGGUUUGGCACCUCGAUGUCGGCUCGUCGCAUCCUGGGGCUGUAGUCGGUCCCAAGGGUUGGGCUGUUCGCCCAUUAAAGCGGCACGCGAGCUGGGUUCAGAACGUCGUGAGACAGUUCGGUCCCUAUCCGUCGCGGGCGUAGGAAAUUUGAGAGGAUCUGCUCCUAGUACGAGAGGACCAGAGUGGACUUACCGCUGGUGUACCAGUUGUCUUGCCAAAGGCAUCGCUGGGUAGCUAUGUAGGGAAGGGAUAAACGCUGAAAGCAUCUAAGUGUGAAACCCACCUCAAGAUGAGAUUUCCCAUGAUUAU
rnacentral:rRNA from 3 species